AUUCUACAAUGUAAAGUCAAAGUGAAGCACAAUAUAUCACCCCUCUUUUCCACAUCAAACUCCAUUUCCACUUAAAAAAAACUCCAACUUCUCACUCUUUCUUUUCUCUCUCAUUAUCACAAACAAAAAUUAUGGGAGAAGACAGUGAAAACGAGCCAAAAUUUCCCACACUAAAGCUUCCAUUUGCAGAGAUACCCGAUUCGCCGGAGCAUCCAUCAACGCCGCCGUUCCAAGCGUCGGCCACCGUCCCAUUCAAAUGGGAGGAGCAGCCCGGGAAGCCCCGGCCAUGCUCCGACAUCAUCAUCGCCCGACCCAAACCCGCGAAAUCAUUAGAGCUCCCUCCAUGUAUGAACCCGGCCGACAAAUUUACGAAAACGCCCUCCCCCACCACCGUCCUCGACGGGCCCUACAGCGUCGGCCGCCCCAAAUUCUCCUCCUUCAGAUUCUUCCGAGACGGCCACGACUCCUUGGUCAGCCCCGAGGCCGCCUCCCUGCUCGGCGCCAAGAAGAGCGGCAAGGCCAGAGGGCUUUUUGGUAAAUUCAAGGGCGGUAAGAAGGAGGUCGCCGACGGCGGUAGUUGCCGGUUCUCUCCUUCCACGGUUAGCAGCUGCAACAGUGAGGAUUUGUUUACUAAUAACUGUGGAGUCAAAAUCACCAGAAACGGAAGCUUCUCCAAUCUAUCUCAUGCAAAGCCUUCUCAAUUAUGGAAAUUACCAAAAAUGUUGAAAAUAUGGUCCAUAAAUUAUCAAGGGUAGGCAGAUUUCUGCAAAUCACAGGGGCAAGCUGUGAAAUACUGUUGUAGGAUUUGAAAGAAGAGAAGAAACAGUGGACUAGUAUUUGCCAUGGCUUAAAGCAAGUCAUGCACUGGAAAGGCAGCAGGAAAUCAAAUAAAGAAGGUCGGCAUUCAAGGGUUGAUAAUGUAUCAUAAAUCACUUGCAAAAUUUAGUAUUUUGAACAAAAAAACAGAGAAGAAAAAAGUUUGAAACUCUCUGUUUCGAACUAAUGUUCAUGCUUGUGAUGUAUAUUGCUUUUCAUACCCCAAUAUUCUCAGUCGCGUAUAAACUAUUA